AUUGAACGCUGGCGGCAGGCUUAACACAUGCAAGUCGAGCGGGGUGAUGGUGCUUGCACUAUCACUUAGCGGCGGACGGGUGAGUAAUGCUUAGGAAUCUGCCUAUUAGUGGGGGACAACAUCUAGAAAGGGAUGCUAAUACCGCAUACGUCCUACGGGAGAAAGCAGGGGAUCACUUGUGACCUUGCGCUAAUAGAUGAGCCUAAGUCGGAUUAGCUAGUUGGUGGGGUAAAGGCCUACCAAGGCGACGAUCUGUAGCGGGUCUGAGAGGAUGAUCCGCCACACUGGGACUGAGACACGGCCCAGACUCCUACGGGAGGCAGCAGUGGGGAAUAUUGGACAAUGGGGGGAACCCUGAUCCAGCCAUGCCGCGUGUGUGAAGAAGGCCUUAUGGUUGUAAAGCACUUUAAGCGAGGAGGAGGCUCUUUUGGUUAAUACCCAAGAUGAGUGGACGUUACCCGCAGAAUAAGCACCGGCUAACUCUGUGCCAGCCGCCGCGGUAA
rnacentral:rRNA from 1 species